rnacentral:rRNA from 1 species
GACGAACGCUGGCGGCGUGCUUAACACAUGCAAGUCGAACGGGCCUGUCUUCUUUUUUGGGGGGUGGGUUGAGUGGCGAACGGGUGAGUAUCACGUGAGUAACCUGCCCUUCGGUCCUGGAUAACCGCUUGAAAGGGCGGCUAAUACGGGGUGGUCCGGUUGGUCCGCAUGGGCUGGUCGGGAUAGAUUCACUGUUGUUGGUGUUUCGGCGGGGGAUGGGCUCGCGGCCUAUCAGCUUGUUGGUGGGGUGAUGGCCUACCAAGGCGGUGACGGGUAGCCGGCCUGAGAGGGUGGGCGGCCACACUGGGACUGAGAUACGGCCCAGACUCCUGCGGGAGGCAGCAGUGGGGGGUAUUGCACAAUGGGCGGAAGCCUGAUGCAGCGACGUCGCGUGAGGGAUGGAGGCCUUCGGGUUGUGAACCCCUGUUUCCGGUGGUGAAGGCCCUGUCCGUGUGGUGGGGUUGACGGUAGCCGGGGAUGAAGCGCCGGCUAACUACGUG